AAAAUGUCGAAAACAUACAAGGUCGUAAAUGGUCUAAAACGGGCCAAGCCUAUUAUGUCCGCCAAUCCGUCAGAGGCAAAAGCAAGAGUUAUUCAUCUGUAUAAGGCAUGGUACAAACAAAUACCACAAAUGGGGCCAAUUGGAAUUGAUCAAUACUGUGGAACAUUUCAAUCAAAAACCCCACGUGAUGCGAUUCUUUAGAGAUACACAUAAUCCAAGGCCUACAGAUUUUUUAGGAAAGUUUUAUGCUGGACAUGAUCCCUGAGAGAAUAAUUACACAUGUAUGUGUAAUCAUGUAAUCAGUUGAUUCAGUUUACAUAUUUUUUUUUAAUUAAAGAUUUCUUGUAAUGAAUAAAAUUGACAUGUU
rnacentral:misc_RNA from 1 species